rnacentral:rRNA from 1 species
GUUUGAUCCUGGCUCAGAUUGAACGCUGGCGGCAGGCCUAACACAUGCAAGUCGAGCGGCAGCGGGAAAGUAGCUUGCUACUUUUGCCGGCGAGCGGCGGACGGGUGAGUAAUGCCUGGGGAUCUGCCCAGUCGAGGGGGAUAACAGUUGGAAACGACUGCUAAUACCGCAUACGCCCUACGGGGGAAAGGAGGGGACCUUCGGGCCUUUCGCGAUUGGAUGAACCCAGGUGGGAUUAGCUAGUUGGUGGGGUAAUGGCUCACCAAGGCGACGAUCCCUAGCUGGUCUGAGAGGAUGAUCAGCCACACUGGAACUGAGACACGGUCCAGACUCCUACGGGAGGCAGCAGUGGGGAAUAUUGCACAAUGGGGGAAACCCUGAUGCAGCCAUGCCGCGUGUGUGAAGAAGGCCUUCGGGUUGUAAAGCACUUUCAGCGAGGAGGAAAGGUUGGCGCCUUAAUAGAGUUCAAC